CCUACGGGUGGCAGCAGUGAGGAAUAUUGGUCAAUGGACGAGAGUCUGAACCAGCCAAGUAGCGUGAAGGAUGACUGCCCUAUGGGUUGUAAACUUCUUUUAUAUGGGAAUAAAACGUUCCACGUGUGGGAUUUUGUAUGUACCAUAUGAAUAAGGAUCGGCUAACUCCGUGCCAGCAGCAGCGGUAAUACGGAGGAUCCGAGCGUUAUACGGAUUUAUUGGGUUUAAAGGGAGCGUAGGUGGAUUGUUAAGUCAGUUGUGAAAGUUUGCGGCUCAACCGUAAAAUUGCAGUUGAGACUGGCAGUCUUGAGUACAGUAGAGGUGGGCGGAAUUCGUGGUGUAGCGGUGAAAUGCUUAGAUAUCACGAAGAACUCCGAUUGCGAAGGCAGUUCACUGGACUGCAACUGACACUGAGGCUCGAAAGUGUGGGUAUCAAACAGGAUUAGAUACCCUAGUAGUC
rnacentral:rRNA from 1 species